rnacentral:rRNA from 1 species
AUUGAACGCUGGCGGCAUGCCUUACACAUGCAAGUCGAACGGCAGCACGGGAGCAAUCCUGGUGGCGAGUGGCGAACGGGUGAGUAAUAUAUCGGAACGUGCCCAGUAGUGGGGGAUAACUGCUCGAAAGAGCAGCUAAUACCGCAUACGACCUAAGGGUGAAAGGGGGGGAUCGCAAGACCUCUUGCUAUUGGAGCGGCCGAUAUCCGAUUAGCUAGUUGGUGGGGUAAAGGCCUACCAAGGCAACGAUCUGUAGUUGGUCUGAGAGGACGACCAGCCACACUGGGACUGAGACACGGCCCAGACUCCUACGGGAGGCAGCAGUGGGGAAUUUGGACAAUGGGCGCAAGCCUGAUCCAGCAAUGCCGCGUGCAGGAAGAAGGCCUUCGGGUUGUAAACUGCUUUUGUCAGGGAAGAAAUCCUCUAGGUUAAUACCCUUGGGGGGAUGACGGUACCUGAAGAAUAAGCACCGGCUAACUACGUGCCAGCCGCCGCCGUAAAAC